UAGAGUUUACGAACUCCCAAACCUUUGUGAACAUACCACUGUUGCUUCGGCGGGAUCGUCCCGGGCGCGCCUGAUGAGGGCGUGUUCCGGAGCCAGGCGCCCGCCGAGGGUAUCAAACUCUUGUCUUUACAACGGACUUCUGAGUACAAAAGAAAAAUAAAUCA
rnacentral:misc_RNA from 1 species